rnacentral:rRNA from 1 species
AGUGAACGCUGGCGGUAGGCCUAACACAUGCAAGUCGAACGGCAGCACAGUAAGAGCUUGCUCUUACGGGUGGCGAGUGGCGGACGGGUGAGGAAUACAUCGGAAUCUACUUUUUCGUGGGGGAUAACGUAGGGAAACUUACGCUAAUACCGCAUACGACCUACGGGUGAAAGCAGGGGAUCUUCGGACCUUGCGCGAUUGAAUGAGCCGAUGUCGGAUUAGCUAGUUGGCGGGGUAAAGGCCCACCAAGGCGACGAUCCGUAGCUGGUCUGAGAGGAUGAUCGCCACAAUGGAAAUUGAGCAAGGUCCAAGACUCUACGGGGGGGCACAGGGGGGAAUAAUGGACAAAGGGCGGAAGCCCUGUCCCAGCCAACCGGGGGGGGUGAAGAAGGCUUCCGGGUGGUAAAGCCUUUUUGUGGGGAAAGAAAGGAGGAAGGUUAAACCCCGGUUGUCUGGACGGAACCAAAGGAAUAAGAACGGCUUACUUGCGG